rnacentral:rRNA from 1 species
UCCUACGGGGGGCAGCAGUAGGGAAUUUUCGUCAAUGGGCGCAAGCCUGAACGAGCAAUGCCGCGUGAACGAGGAAGGUCUUCGGAUCGUAAAGUUCUGUUGAAGGGGAAAAAGAGCGGAGAGAGGAAAUGGUCUCCGAUUGAUAUUACACUUCGAGGAAGUCACGGCUAACUACGUGCCAGCAGCCGCGGUAAUACGUAGGUGGCGAGCGUUAUCCGGAAUGAUUGGGCGUAAAGGGUGCGUAGGUGGCCUGCUAAGUCUGGAGUGAAAGGUACCGGCUCAACCGGUACAGGCUCUGGAAACUG